rnacentral:tRNA from 1 species
CCGUCGAUAGCUCAGUUGGCAGAGCGGUGGACUGUAGGGGCUUAACAGCAGUAAUCCAUAGGUCGCUGGUUCGACUCCGGCUCGACGGA